GUCCCUGUAGCGCAAUGGAUUGCGCGUUGGUCAUUUCAGCCAAAGUUCGUGGAUUCAAAUCCCACCUGGGAUG